GUGGGUGUAGCUCAGUGGUAGAGCACUGGAUUGUGGCUCCGGUUGUCGCGGGUUCAAUUCCCGUCACUCACCCCA
rnacentral:tRNA from 1 species